GAAUAAGCGAUGAUAAGGAAUAGUAAUUCUACCGUCUGACCGAUCAGAGAGCCGGUGUCAGGUGCAAACCGGCGGCAGACCCGAACGAACUGACCUUGGAGCUGAAUCUGAAAUCAAGGAUUCCGUGACUUCCUGCGUUAAAGGAAAAAGAGGGGCACAGAAGGGAUCUUUUCUGUGAACUAAGGUGGUACCGCGCGCUGACGUCCUUAGA
rnacentral:ncRNA from 1 species